CCUACGGGAGGCAGCAGUGAGGAAUAUUGGUCAAUGGGCGAGAGCCUGAACCAGCCAAGUCGCGUGAGGGAAGACGGUCCUAUGGAUUGUAAACCUCUUUUGCCGGGGAGCAAAAAGCGGUACGUGUACCGCAUCGAGAGUACCCGGAGAAAAAGCAUCGGCUAACUCCGUGCCAGCAGCCGCGGUAAUACGGAGGAGGCGAGCGUUAUCCGGAUUUAUUGGGUUUAAAGGGUGCGCAGGCGGCGAGUUAAGUCAGCGGUAAAAUUUCGGGGCUCAACCCCGACAAGCCGUUGAAACUGGCGUGCUAGAGUGGGCGAGAAGUAUGCGGAAUGCGUGGUGUAGCGGUGAAAUGCAUAGAUAUCACGCAGAACUCCGAUUGCGAAGGCAGCAUACCGGCGCCCAACUGACGCUCAGGCACGAAAGCGUGGGUAUCGAACAGGAUUAGAUACCCCGGUAGUC
rnacentral:rRNA from 1 species